rnacentral:ncRNA from 1 species
AUCUUUAUUGUUCCUAGGAUUGGCUUUGGGCCUUUCCUACAUAGUUUAGGUGGAAGGCAAAGAAGGCCUCCUUUUGGAGGGGCUUAAGUCAUCAGUGAGAUACCACUCUGGAAGAGUUAGAAUUCUAACUUUGUGUUAGGAUUUACGGGCCAAUAGACAGUCUUAGGUAGACAGUUUCUAUGGGAUGUAGGCCUCCCAAAAGGUAAUGGAACCAUUAUAUGUUUUAAAAAU